CUCCCUGAUACAGGAUUCUAGUAUAAUUGACUUCUACCCUGAAGAUUUUGCUAUUGAUUUAAAUGGGAAGAAAUAUGCCUGGCAAGGUGGGGAAACAGAUACAGAGCUGCUAUAUAAUCGUGCCCCAGGUCACCCAGCUGGUGAGCCACACACCCACGUGGGCUGGAUCCAGAGGCAUCCUACUGAUUAGUAUGUAGCAGGCGCUCCAUAAAUAUUGGCUGAAUU